UACGUAGGGGGCGAGCGUUGUCCGGAUUUAUUGGGCGUAAAGAGCUCGUAGGCGGUUUGGUAAGUCGGGUGUGAAAUCUCCACGCUCAACGUGGAGGGGCCACUCGAUACUGCCAUGACUCGAGUCCGGUAGAGGAGUGUGGAAUUCCCGGUGUAGCGGUGAAAUGCGCAGAUAUCGGGAGGAACACCCGUAGCGAAGGCGGCACUCUGGGCCGGAACUGACGCUUAGGAGCGAAAGCGUGGGGAGCAAACAGG
rnacentral:rRNA from 1 species